AAGAACGCACCGCUGGUGUACCAGUUAUCGUGCCAACGGUAGACGCUGGGUAGCCAAGUGCGGAGAGGAUAACCGCUGAAAGCAUCUAAGUGGGAAGCCCACCUCAAGAUGAGUACUCUCAUGGUGUAAACCAGUAAGGUCACGGGCAGAACACCCGUUAAUAGGCGUUAGGUGGAAGAGCAGCAAUGUUUGCAGCCGAGACGUGCUAACAGACCGAGGGCUUGACCAAACAUC
rnacentral:rRNA from 1 species